rnacentral:rRNA from 1 species
GUGCCAGCAGCCGCGGUAAUACAGAGGGUGCGAACGUUGCUCGGAAUUACUGGGCGUAAAGCGCGUGUAGGCGGAACGAUAAGUCGGAAGUGAAAUCCCCGGGCUCAACCCGGGAACUGCUUUCGAAACUGCCGUUCUCGAGUACCGGAGAGGGUGGCGGAAUUCCUGGUGUAGAGGUGAAAUUCGUAGAUAUCAGGAGGAACACCGGUGGCGAAGGCGGCCACCUGGACGGUCACUGACGCUGAGACGCGAAAGCGUGGGGAGCAAACAGGAUUAGAUACCCUAGUAGUCC